rnacentral:lncRNA from 1 species
AAGUUUUCCUUUAAUCUUUAAGAGUCAAGAAUAAUUUUGCUUAUCCUUUAUGUUUUCUGAGGAAAAUUUAAGUCAUUAAAUAGGAGAGUCUAAUUGUUUGCUGCUCUGCAAUUAGGAGAGUCUGGGGCUUCCAAACUACACAAUGUUACAUUGACUUACGGGGAUUCACUAUUACUAGAGAAAACAGAUGCUAAGUUUGAGAUAUGCACUGUGAAAUCUGAGGUCAAGGAAUCUGACACUGUUAAUAUCAUCGGUGUCGCUGACUAAAGUGGUACUCUAACUGACAACAGCCUAUUUAUAGAUUGAGCUAGGUCUAAUUCCUGCCUUGACUGAAACUACAGUACCAAGUGAAGAUGGAUGUGCCUUGUCAGUGAGCAGUCAGACUGAAUGAAGAAAGCACACACCUAACCUAGAGCUCAUGAACAAUAUGAAUUGCUCAACUGUAAGCAUGGUGGUGACAGAGUGGGUACACUACAGGUGCCUUCAGAAUCAUAUGGUACUAACUGCACAGGAAACUGACAGGUAUAUAUUUAACUGGAGGAAAAGGACAAUCCCAAUGACAAAACAUCAGUAUGAACUCAGGUGAUAAAACUGGCAUUUAAAUAUUUUAAAUUCAGUAAAAUCCUGCAGUAUUGACUUAAACUCCUGGAAUAAGCAUUAAAUCUUACUACUA